rnacentral:rRNA from 1 species
AUGAUAGCAGCAAGCACAGAGCAUGAGAACUUGUUACUGAUUGUAGAUCACGGAGAGUCACGAGAGAGUGUGCUAAGAGAUGACAUUUUUGUUAAUGGGGUUCCUGAACUUCCAAAGGUAAUUACUCCAGGAAAAGAAAGCAAGGGAAAAGAGCAAUAUAGCUGUCUGGAGGAGAGAAGUGUGACAUAUAAGAGGAGGGCAAGGAGGUUAUGUGGGGAAGGUUCAUCCUCGAGUUGUAUUGAUGAAGAAACGGAGGAACAAGAUGGAUUAAAUGCAGCAGAUUUGGAGACAGAUGAAGAUUUCUAUGACAGUGACUUUGACAUAGAAGAUGGGGAUGAUGAUCUAUAUGCAAAAAAUGUAGAUAACGAAGUGGAUGAUCAUAGAGAGAAAGACACGACAUGUGACUAUGAAGCAGAGUUAGCAGAGGAUGCUCUAGAUGAUUCCCACUUAGACUUGUCCACGGAACAGACGGAGAAGUUGAAGUACCACUUCAAGGGGUUUAAUCCAGAAACUGAUUUGAAUAACCCUGUUUUAAGACUUGGUCAGGUUUUUGGUAACGUGCAGGAGCUGAGACAUGCUAUUACAUCUUAUAGCAUCAGAAACAGAGUUCAAGUGAAGAAGACAAGGAACACAUCCACAAAAGUUGUGGCUGUCUGUAGUGGUGAUUGUCCAUGGUAUCUCAUGGGAAGCAAGGAUAACAAAACAUCCAGUUUUGUUAUAAAAAAGUACUGUGAUGAGCACACUUGUACUAAAUCCUGGAAGCUCAAGGGGUUGACAGCUCCUUUCCUAACCAGGAAAUUUAGAGAUGAGUUCAGGGACAGCGAGAAGAUGCCCUUGAAGAAAUUUUCGGAGAAAGUUCAAAUAGAGUACAACCGCAUACCAACCAGGAGCAAAUUGGGAAGAGCCAGAAGAGCAUCAGUGAAGGAGAUAAGGGGGGAGGAUGAUGAUCAGUAUAAUCAGUUGUGGGAUUAUGGAGAGGAGUUAAGGAAAAGCAAUCUUGAUAGCAAGUUUUUCCUAUGCACAAAGGAGAUAGUAGAUGAGAAGACAAAAGAGACAAAAGAGCACUUCUCCACAUUGUAUUGGUCUUUGGAUGCAUGCAAGAGAGGAUGGCUAAAUGGGUGCAGGCCAAUAAUUUUUACCCAAAAUCUAAAAAGUGGCCGCGCACUAUUUGAUGUUCCCGAGCGGCCGCAUCUGCCACACACAUGCAUGUUAUUUUUUUGUCUCGUAGCGCAUGUGGGUGCUGGCAUUAAAUGUGUUCACACUAGUCUCAUCAGUUAG